ensembl:lncRNA NRP2-AS1 NRP2 antisense RNA 1
CACAGCAACUUGCUCUCCUGGCUGGCUUCCCGCACCACCUGCAGCGCCACCCCGCGGCCGCCCGUGGCCUGUUUGUGCCUCUUCAACCAUCCAAAGCCACAUCUGUCUACAUACCCUACAAGGUGUGACCUCUGCAAGGCCAAAAUCAGCACAGAUAACUAAAAGGCAGCUGUCUACAGAAGAGAAUUAAUAAUGGUGUCUGCUGAGGGAGGAUACACUGAUGCCAAAUCAGACCCUCAAAGAUCUUCUAAACCUAUGCUUCCCCUAUCAGAUCUUACUAUUACUGCUGUUAAUGAUAAUAAUUAAAGCUCAUUCUUGCAUAA